AUCAACUUUCGAUGGUAGGAUAGAGGCCUACCAUGGUGGUAACGGGUAACGGGGUGUUAGGGCACGACACCGGAGAGGGAGCCUGAGAAACGGCUACCACAUCCAAGGAUGGCAGCAGGCGCGCAAAUUACCCAAUCCCGACACGGGGAGGUAGUGACAAUAAAUAACAAUACGGGGUUCUUUUGGAUUUCGUAAUUGGAAUGAGUACAAUUUAAAUCUCUUAACGAGGAACAAUUGGAGGGCAAGUCUGGUGCCAGCAGCCGCGGUAAUUCCAGCUCCAAUAGCGUAUAUUAAAGUUGUUGCAGUUAAAAAGCUCGUAGUUGAAUUUCGGGAUCAAUACGUCGGUCGUGCCUCUGGUAUGUACUGGUGUUAUUGAUUUCUCCCUUCUGAUGAACCAUGAUGUCAUUCAUUUGGUGUUGUGUGGAGUCAGGACUGUUACUUUGAAAAAAUUAGAGUGUUUAAAGCAGGCUCACGCUUGAAUACAUUAGCAUGGAAUAAUGAAAUAGGACGUUCGAUCCUAUUUUGUUGGUUUCUAGGAUCAACGUAAUGAUUAAUAGGGAUAGUUGGGGGCAUUAGUAUUCAAUUGUCAGAGGUGAAAUUCUUGGAUUUAUUGAAGACUAACUACUGCGAAAGCAUUUGCCAAGGAUGUUUUCAUUAAUCAAGAACGAAAGUUAGGGGAUCGAAGACGAUCAGAUACCGUCGUAGUCUUAACCAUAAACUAUGCCGACUAGGGAUCGGAUGAUGUUAAUUUUUUAAUGACUCAUUCGGCGCCUUACGGGAAACCAAAGUGUUUGGGUU
rnacentral:rRNA from 1 species